CGAGUGCCCCGAGCGUUAUCCGGAAUCAUUGGGCGUAAAGGGUGUGUAGGUGGCAUUGUUAGUCAGUUGUUAAAACCUGGGGCUUAACCCCAGAUGUGCGACUGAAACGGCAAAGCUAGAGGAUGCGAGGGAUCUGUGGAACUCAUGGAGUAGGGGUGAAAUCCGUUGAUAUCAUGGGGAACACCGAAAGCGAAAGCAGCAGAUUGGCGCAUUCCUGACACUGAAACACGAAAGCGUGGGUAGCGAAUGGGAUUAGAUACCCCAGUAGUCCACGCCCUAAACGAUGACAACUAGCUUUACGGAGUAUCGACCCUCUGUGAGGCGAAGCUAACGCGUUAAGUUGUCCGCCUGGGUAGUACGACCGCAAGGUUA
rnacentral:rRNA from 1 species